rnacentral:rRNA from 1 species
UUUUAAUCGAGAGUUUGAUCCUGGCUCAGGACGAACGCUGGCGGCGUGCCUAAUACAUGCAAGUCGAACGCACUCUCGUUUAGAUUGAAGGAGUUUGCUCCUGAUUGAUAAACAUUUGAGUGAGUGGCGG